CCUACGGGCGGCAGCAGUGGGGAAUAUUGCACAAUGGGGGAAACCCUGAUGCAGCGACGCCGCGUGAGUGAAGAAGUAUUUCGGUAUGUAAAGCUCUAUCAGCAGGGAAGAAAAUGACGGUACCUGAUUAAGCCGCCCCGGCUAACUACGUGCCAGCAGCCGCGGUAAUACGUAGGGGGCAAGCGUUAUCCGGGUUUAAUGGGUGUAAAGGGUGCGCAGGCGGCCCGUUUAGUCAGCCGUAAAAGCCCAGGGGUCAACCCCGGGCGACCCGUGGAAAUUGGCGGGUUGGAGUGGAGGAGAGGUAAGCGGAAUGCGCGGUGUAGCGGUGAAAUGCGUAGAUAUAGGGAAGAACACCGAUUGCGAAGGCAGCGUACCGG
rnacentral:rRNA from 1 species